rnacentral:rRNA from 1 species
UGCGGAGGGAGCUAGCGUUGUUCGGAAUUACUGGGCGUAAAGCGCACGUAGGCGGCUUUGUAAGUUAGAGGUGAAAGCCCGGGGCUCAACCCCGGAAUUGCCUUUAAGACUGCAUCGCUUGAAUCCGGGAGAGGUGAGUGGAAUUCCGAGUGUAGAGGUGAAAUUCGUAGAUAUUGGGAAGGACACCGGUGGCGAAGGCGGCUCACUGGCUCAUUACUGACGCUCAGGCGCGAUAGCGUGGGGAUCAAACAGG